rnacentral:rRNA from 1 species
UACGUAGGGACCGAGCGUUAUCCGGAUUCAUUGGGCGUAAAGAGCUCGUAGGCGGCUGUUCAAGUCGAACGUGAAACUCGGAGCUCAACUCCGAGCCUGCGUUCGAUACUGGACGGCUAGAGUCUGGUAGGGGAUCUGGAAUUCCUGGUGUAGCGGUGGAAUGCGCAGAUAUCAGGAGGAACACCGGUGGCGAAGGCGGGAUCCUGGGCCAGUACUGACGCUGAGGAGCGAAAGCGUGGGAGCAACAGG